UUGGGCGUAAAGAGCUCGUAGGCGGUUAGUCACGUCAGAUGUGAAAGCCCAGGGCUCAACCUUGGAACUGCACCUGAUACUGCAAGACUAGAGUACAAUAGAGGAUAGCGGAAUUCCAGGUGUAGCGGUGAAAUGCGUAGAUAUCUGGAGGAACACCAAUGGCGAAGGCAGCUAUCUGGGAUACAACUGACGCUGAGGUACGAAAGCGUGGGGAGCAAACAGGAUUAGAUACCCUGGUAGUCCACGCCGUAAACGAUGAGAACUAGACGUUGGGUAUUUAUACCUGGUGUCGCAGCUAACGCAUUAAGUUCUCCGCCUGGGGAGUACGGCCGCAAGGUUGAAACUCAAAGUAAUUGACGGGGGCCCGCACAAGCGGUGGAGCAUGUGGUUUAAUUCGAUGCAACGCGAAGAACCUUACCUACACUUGACAUCAUCAGAACUUGUUAGAGAUAACUCGGUGCCUUCGGGAACUGAUAGACAGGUGCUGCAUGGCU
rnacentral:rRNA from 1 species